AGGGCACCACCAGGAGUGGAGCCUGCGGCUUAAUUUGACUCAACACGGGAAAACUUACCUGGUCCUGACACUAGAAGGAUUGACAGAUUGAUAGCUCUUUCUUGAUUUGGUGGAUGGUGGUGCAUGGCCGUUCUUAGUUGGUGGAGUGAUUUGUCUGGUUAAUUCCGAUAACGAACGAGACUCUAGCCUAUUAAAUAACACGCAGAAUCUUGUCUUCUGCGGUGUUUCUUAAUGGGAUCAAGUGUGUUUAACGCUUUGAAACAGAGCAAUAACAGGUCUGUGAUGCCCUUAGAUGUUCGGGGCUGCACGCGCGCUACAUUGAAAGACAGAAUGAGCCUUCUAGUUUUUAAUAAAGCUAGUAAUCUUUGAAUGUUUUUCUUAAUGGGGAUAGGGGAUUGCAAUUGUGCCCCUUGAACGAGGAAUUCCCAGUAAGUGCUAAUCAUUAGUUAGUACUGAUUACGUCCCUGCCCUUUGUACACACCGCCCGUCGCUACUACCGAUUGAAUGGUUUAGUGAGAU
rnacentral:rRNA from 1 species